rnacentral:rRNA from 1 species
AAGCUCGUAGUUGAAUUUCGGGAUCAAUUUGUCGGUCGUGCCUCGGUACGUACUGGUAUUAUUGGUUUCUACCUUCUGAAGAACCUUGAUGUCAUUAAUUUGGUGUCUUGGGGAAUCAGGACUGUUACUUUGAAAAAAUUAGAGUGUUUAAAGCAAGCAUACGCUUGAAUACAUUAGCAUGGAAUAAUGAAAUAGGACGUUUGAUUCUAUUUUGUUGGUUUCUAGGAUCGACGUAAUGAUUAAUAGGGAUAGUUGGGGGCAUUAGUAUUCAAUUGUCAGAGGUGAAAUUCUUGGAUUUAUUGAAGACUAACUACUGCGAAAGCAUUUGCCAAGGAUGUUUUCAUUAAUCAAGAACGAAAGUUAGGGGAUCGAAGACGAUCAGAUACCGUCGUAGUCUUAACCAUAAACUAUGCCGACUAGGGAUCGGAUGAUGUUGAUUUUUUAAUGACUCAUUCGGCACCUUACGGGAAACCAAAGUGUUUGGGUUCCGGGGGGAGUAUGGUCGCAAGGCUGAAACUUAAAGGAAUUGACGGAAGGGCACCACCAGGGGUGGAGCCUGCGGCUUAAUUUGACUCAACACGGGGAAA